CUUACCAUGCAGUCGACGGCAGCACGGACUUCGGUCUGGUGGCGAGUGGCGAACGGGUGAGUAAUGUAUCGGAACGUGCCAGUAGCGGGGGAUAACUACGCGGAAGCGUAGCUAAUACCGCAUACGCCCUACGGGGGAAAGCAGGGGAUCGCAAGACCUUGCACUAUUGGAGCGGCCGAUAUCGGAUUAGCUAGUUGGUGGGGUAACGGCUCACCAAGGCGACGAUCCGUAGCUGGUUUGAGAGGACGACCAGCCACACUGGGACUGAGACACGGCCCAGACUCCUACGGGAGGCAGCAGUGGGGAAUUUUGGACAAUGGGGGAAACCCUGAUCCAGCCAUCCCGCGUGUGCGAUGAAGGCCUUCGGGUUGUAAAGCACUUUUGGCAGGAAAGAAACGUCGUGGGUUAAUACCCCGCGAAACUGACGGUACCUGCAAAAUAAGCACCGGCUAACUACGUGCCAGC
rnacentral:rRNA from 1 species